AUUUUCUUAGCGUGGGCGAGGAAAGACGUGCCAAUAGGAGCGCAGCGGCAAUCAACGGAUGUUAACAGGUAGUGUCAGGGAAGAAGACGGCGUCGUCAUGGCAACGGCGCCGCAGCAUUGUCGCCGUGUAAACGGUGCCGCAGCAGAGCAAAAAAAUACGGCGCCACAACCGAUGCCGCGAGCAACAAAAAACGGCAACAUAGCCAACGGCGCCAGCGAUGAAAUACGGCGGCAAAACCAAGCCGCAGCUAAAAGAAACGGCGGCAAAAACCAAAAGCGCCAGCGACGAAAAACGGCGGCGUAACAAAAAGCGCCAAACAUUUAUAUGGUAAAAAGCGGACGCAGAAAAAAAUGAUGACGGCGUCGUCAUAGCAACGGCGCCGCUGCAACGCUAAAAAAUACGGCGCCAUCAACGAAAAACGGCGGCACAUACAAUGCCGGCAGCGACAACGGCGGCAUAACCAACGGCGCCAUGCAUUCAUAUAAUAUGAAGCGGUGGCAAAAAAAAAUGAUGACGGCGUCGUCGAAGCAACGGCGCCGCAGCAGCGCUAAAAAGUACGGCGCCAUCGACAAAAAACGGCGGCACAUUUAAUGCCGGCAGCGAAAACAAACGACGGCAUAACCAACGGCGCCAAACAUGUAUAUGGUAGGAAGCGAAGGCAAAAAAAAUUGAUGACGGCGUCGUCGAAGCAACGGCGCCGCAGCAGCGCUAAAAAGUACGGCGCCAUCGACAAAAAACGGCGGCAAAUUCAAUGCCGGCAGCGAAAAAAAACAACGGCAUAACCAACGGAGCCAAACAUUUAUAUGGUAGGAAGCGAAGGCAAAAA